rnacentral:misc_RNA from 1 species
GAUGAAGAACGUAGCGAAAUGCGAUAAGUAAUGUGAAUUGCAGAAUUCAGUGAAUCAUCGAAUCUUUGAACGCACCUUGCGCCUUUUGGUAUUCCGAAAGGCACACCGGUUUGAGCGUCAUGAAUACCUCAAUCUCCAUCUUUUCUUCGGAUUGAUGGGUGACUUGGAUGUUGAGCCCUGCUGGUAUGCUAUAUCAGCUGGCUUUAAACUUAUUAGCCGGCUCUGUACUGGAUCGGUUUGACUCGACGUGAUAAUAUUAUCGUUGAGGAUGCAUGUCUCAUGCAGCCGGAAAGUAUCAAAGCGGCUUCUAGCUUGCCUUGAGUGCACUUUUACAUUUUAGACCUCAGGUCAGGUGGGACUACCCGCUGAACUUAAGCAUAUCAAUAAGCGGAGGA